rnacentral:rRNA from 1 species
CAGCAGCCGCGGGAAUACGAAGGGUGCAAGUGUUACUCGGAAUUACUGGGCGUAAAGCGUGCGUAGGCGGCUUUUUAAGUCAGAGGUGAAAGCCCGGGGCUCAACCCCGGAAUUGCCUUUGAGACUGGAAAGCUAGAAUCUUGGAGAGGUCAGUGGAAUUCCGAGUGUAGAGGUGAAAUUCGUAGAUAUUCGGAAGAACACCAGUGGCGAAGGCGACUGACUGGACAAGUAUUGACGCUGAGGUGCGAAAGCGUGGGGAGCAAACAGGAUUAGAGACCCCCGUAGUCCCUGUCUCUUAUAC